rnacentral:rRNA from 1 species
UGAACGCUGGCGGCGUGCUAACACAUGCAAGUCGAGCGGAAAUAUUAAAAGCUUGCUUUGAAUAUUAGCGGCGGACGGGUGAGUAACGUGUGGGUAACCUGCCAUAGUACUGGGGAAUAAUCAUUUGAAAAGAUGACUAAUACCGCAUGUCGUCACCGAGGGGCAUCCCUUGGUGAAAAAAGGAGUAAUCCGGUAUAUGAUGGAACCCGCAUCUGAUUAGCUAGUUGGUGAGAUAACAGCUCACCAAGGCGACGAUCAGUAGCCGACCUGAGAGGGUGAUCGGCCACAUUGGGACUGAGACACGGCCCAAACUCCUACGGGAGGCAGCAGUGGGGAAUAUUGCACAAUGGGCGAAAGCCCUGAUGCAGCAACGCCGCGUGAAGGAAGAAGGGUUUCGGCUCGUAAACUUCUAUCAAUGGGGAAGAAAUAAAUGACGGUACCCAAAUAAGAAGCCCCGGCUAACUACGUGCCAGCCGCCGC